CCGACGGCGGACGCGAUCCCCUCGACUCCAGCUUCUCCGACGUCGGUGGAAUUCUGCACCGACAAAAUUGGCACUAGAGGAAGGGUCUGUGUCUUCGCAGUACCCUUGUUCUUAAAGGAGUGCUCAAUGGGACUAUCUCCGAUCAUCUUCUCCGACAUCUUCUUCUCCUUCUCCUGCCAGAUCUCCACCUGAUGCCUCCCCGAAAAGCAUCCAUCAGGCGAUCCACGGCCUCCGCAACUAGAUCUC
rnacentral:lncRNA from 1 species